UCAGGACAGAGGUGCGAAAAAAUAAAAACAAAAGAAGAACAUCACAUGGCGGCAGGAGGCAUGCUGCUGCUCGUCAUCAGCUCUGCGCCGGCCUGUGGCAUUUUCUCAUGAUGGCUGAACGUCCUCCUCCGCAGGUUAACUGGCAGCACGCCGAGGAGCAAACGGAGCUUGGGUUUUCCAGACGUGGUCCAGCCUCCACAUCAACACCUCUGUGAGGCUUCGUGCCACGCUUCAGUUGGGUGAGAAUGGAUCUGACUCUGUUGGCCAUGAAGAGCUUCAAAACAACAGCUGAGGCCGCAGGUCUGUUAUUUUAAUCAGCUCUUCCAAAGGACACGAUGAAUCAAGACGCGGUUAUCUGACACGCCUGAUUUGACUUAUGUGGAUGUAACGUUCUGUUGUAGCAUGAAAAUACUGUCAGGUGUCUGUUAGAAUCACAUGUGCAGCAGAGCUGCAGAGCUUCACAGGGUCCCGAAUUUCACUUCAUGUCUGUGGUCUUCAGUCCCGUCUCAGACUUGAUGAACACGUCGUGAUACGAACGACUGAAGUCUGCGAGCAGCUCAGUCUGCAGGUCCAGCAGCUGGACCGUCUGGUCUCGUCUUCCUGCUGAUAUUUUCUUCUACAUUUUGCUCCACAGUGUUUCUACUGUUUCCACACUUUCAUCACACACAAUGAGACCUUUUCAAAAAUGUUAACUCGCAUAAACAACAUUCAGCAAAGUGAGUUCUGUGGUUAAUCGUUUAAGUUUUAGUGUUCAGACAUCAGAUUAAAGGCUCCGACUGUCCUUUAACAGUCUGAGUCUGUUAGGUGAUUUUAUGUCUUUUUGCUUUUUGUAUAUUUUAUCAUGUAAGAUUAAAGGUAAGUCUUCCUUAUAAAAAUUAAAUUGUGAUAAUUUAUCAUUAACUUGCGUCUAAAAUCAUAAUUAUAUAAACAAAGUGAGACGUUUGUAUCUGAACAUGAGUUCAUGUUUGUGCUUCAGACUGAAACGUCUCCGUCCUGAUCAGCUGACUGUCAAUAAGCUGCACUACAGCAGGUUUGGACUUCAGGACUUGUUGCUAUGACAACAGCUCCAGAUCAAUGUUAAGACAGCUUCCAAGAACCAAAAACAUCCAGACGGAUGUCAAAUCAUCAAUAUUCUGAUGUGUAUGACUCAACGCUCAGGUCAACUGUUUCACCUUCGUUCUGGAUCUGAGCGUCAAGUGUCUCCGCUGCAGGAAACCGCAGUGUCACAUGACAUCAUAUAACUUCAUGUUUAUUAGGAUGAUUUACACGGUUUAAUGACAAACAAUUAUAAAUGUUUUAUACUUUAAAAUAUCUUUAUGUUGUGUAGAUUGAACUAGAGAGCAGAUAGCGUUGUUGACAGCUGAUGUAUCAUGAUGCUUUUAUUUGAUUCUGAACGAAUAAAUAGUCAACAUUU